AAGGCAGCUACACGGCGACGUGAUGCUAAUCCCCAAAACCUCUCUCAGUUCGGAUUGGAGUCUGCAACCCGACUCCACGAAGCUGGAUUCGCUAGUAAUCGCGCAUCAGCCACGGCGCGGUGAAUACGUUCCCGGGCCUUGUACACACCGCCCGUCAAGCCAUGGGAGCCGGGGGUGCCUGAAGUUCGUGACCGCAAGGAGCGACCUAGGGCAAAACUGGUGACUGGGGCUAAGUCGUAACAAGGUACC
rnacentral:rRNA from 1 species